AGAGUAUUCUCUUUCCAAAGAGAAUCGCAAUUAAAUAAAGGGAAGUUCAAAAGCAAGCCUUUAAGGUCUUGAUUCUUAAUGUCAAUUCGAUAAAUUACAGUAUUAAAGUAAAAAGUUGGAAGGUAGAAAGUAGUAUUACUUAAUAACUUUUAACUGGUAAACUUUAAAACUGUUAUGGACAGUCUCAUAGCUCAGCUGGUUAGAGCGCUACACUGAUAAUGUAGAGGUCGGCAGUUCGAGUCUGCCUGAGACUACGACCGCGCAAAGCGCGAGUUUAAAGUUGGAGGUUUAAAAGUUUAAAGUUAAACUUGAGACACAGAAGUUCAUUUGAAAUAACAAAAGGGAAAUUUUAGAGGUUGAGUAGCCGUUAUAAGUACUGUUAACUGAUAACUGUUAACUGAUCACUGAAAAUGGGGGAUUAGCUCAGCUGGCUAGAGCGCCUGCCUUGCACGCAGGAGGUCAUCGGUUCGACUCCGAUAUUCUCCACCAGGCAAUGCCUGGAGAUUUGAAAGAUAAUCUUCAGGGUUUGCAGUGGGAAGCAUAGAUUGUUUAUACGUCUAUCGCGACUCGCGAUCGUUCAUUGACAUAUUGAGAAAUAAAGAAUACGAGAAACUAACGCUUAUUAUGUGAUAGGGUUUGUAAAAAUUCUAUUGUAAUAAUAGCAAAACAAAAAAAGUUAACGACCAUCGUUAAGGUGGUUGUGCGAGCAUAUUA
rnacentral:tRNA from 1 species